rnacentral:lncRNA from 1 species
GGGGAAGGGGUUAGGAUUAGUGUUAGCAUCAGUGAGAGAGAAUCCCUCCCACACAUGUACGCUGUCUUUGAGUGUGCCCGCGAGUGUGAGCCAGAACUUCACUCCCGGAUCAGGAAGAAGGUCUGGGGUUCCCUAGCUCUGGAAGGAAGGUCCCCAUCUGGGCUUCUGGACCCAAGCAGUUUGGCUUACAGCGACAGAAACAGCUCCUCGCCUCAUGGACACCUGCCAAAAGGAGAAUCCACGGGUCCCGGUUGGCUGCUCAGCAAGCCCUCAACCCGUGGAUCCCAACCCAGCUGGGGCCCUGGCUGGAGAAGCCAGCCGCUGACUGCCCACCCGUCCAACUGGCACAGAGGGGUGAGUGUCGAAACUGUGCAAUGGGGACUAGGGGUGGGGGCUCUCAAAUCAAAUACAGACAGUACUGCACCACCCCUCCCCUCCACCCCUAGAUCAUGGGGGAGAGGAGGAGGCGAGAAACAGCAGGAAGAAGACCAGGUGGAGGUGACAAAGAGGAGGAAAAGGCAGGUGGGAGGAGGAAGAGGAGGAAGAAAAGGAAGAAGAGGAGGAGGAGCAAGAGGGGACAGUGGUCUAGAGAGUGUUAAUCAGAGGUUGGAAUGGUAUUAGGGCAGCUCCCCAUUCCCCCUCCCUGGCCUCCAACUUCCCCACCCCCGGGACUUGAUCUGCUCUUACCUAGAUAGGGGGUCUUGAGCACGAAGCUCUGAGGAGCAUCGGUGUUCAGCGACAACUGGUCAGCCCCAGGGACUCUGGCCAUGUCCACUUGUCCAUUCUGGACCAGGAACUCUUCCCUGACCUCAGCCCCCUGGACCAGGGUCCAGGAGACCAGGCAGAGGACAGAGCUGAGCAGGUAGAGGAUCUUCAUGUUGGUAGCUUCGGGGGGGCUCUCCUGGUCACCAGAGGAAGCUGAUGGCAGGAAGCCGAUGAUCUCUGGAACGGGGUCUGAGCUGGCCCAGAUUUAUACUGGGGUGGCCUAGAGGGGCUCAGAGGCGGAGUCUGGGUGGGCGGGGUCAGGGGACCCGGAAGUGUCCCAGACAUCCCUCUUAUGUCGUUGUGAUGACCAGGUCUGAUCUGGACUGGUCAGUGAUGACCUCUCCCACCUUCCAUAUGAUGACCCUUUAUCUCCAGAGAUCACCAGCCCUACUGACUUCCCAUCAUCUCCCUGAGGGGGGAAGACAUCCAGAAACGUGACCUGUCUGUCCAUGUGUGACUAGGGAUUUAGGGAUCUUUUCCAUUCUGCAGCCCAGAAUGGAGAUGAAGAGGGAAGAAUCAGGGGUGUAGGAUUGUUAGAUGUUGAAAGGUGAAAUGGACCUCGG